rnacentral:rRNA from 1 species
UACGUAGGGGGCAAGCGGUUGUCCGGAUUUAUUGGGCGUAAAGAGCGUGUAGGCGGCCAGGUAGGUCUGCUGUGAAACUCGAGCUCAACCUCGAGACGUCGGCGGAAACCAUCUGGCUAGAGUCCGGAAGAGGAGAGUGGAAUUCCUGGUGUAGCGGUGAAAUGCGCAGAUAUCAGGAAGAACACCCGUGGCGAAGGCGGCUCUCUGGGACGGUACUGACGCUGAGACGCGAAAGCGUGGGGAGCGAACAGG